rnacentral:rRNA from 1 species
CGAUGUUUGGUUUACUCCCGCAACUGGGGCCUUCCUUGUCCUCAGUUCGUACGCACCGACUGGGGUGAAGUCGUAACAAGUACACCUUGGCUCAGAACGAACGCUGGCGGCAUGCCUUACACAUGCAAGUCGGACGGCAGCGCGGGGGCAACCCUGGCGGCGAGUGGCGAACGGGUGAGUAAUACAUCGGAACGUGUCCUGGAGUGGGGGAUAGCCCGGCGAAAGCCGGAUUAAUACCGCAUACGCUCUGUGGAGGAAAGCGGGGGAUCUUCGGACCUCGCGCUCAAGGGGCGGCCGAUGGCAGAUUAGCUAGUUGGUGGGGUAAAGGCCUACCAAGGCGACGAUCUGUAGCUGGUCUGAGAGGACGACCAGCCACACUGGGACUGAGACACGGCCCAGACUCCUACGGGAGGCAGCAGUGGGGAAUUUUGGACAAUGGGGGCAACCCUGAUCCAGCAAUGCCGCGUGUGUGAAGAAGGCCUUCGGGUUGUAAAGCACUUUUGUCCGGAAAGAAAACCGCUUCUCUAAUACAGGGGCGGGAUGACGGUACCGGAAGAAUAAGCACCGGCUAACUACGUGCCAGCAGCCGCGGUAAUACGUAGGGUGCAAGCGUUAAUCGGAAUUACUGGGCGUAAAGCGUGCGCAGGCGGUUCGCUAAGACCGAUGUGAAAUCCCCGGGCUUAACCUGGGAACUGCAUUGGUGACUGGCGGGCUAGAGUAUGGCAGAGGGGGGUAGAAUUCCACGUGUAGCAGUGAAAUGCGUAGAGAUGUGGAGGAAUACCGAUGGCGAAGGCAGCCCCCUGGGCCAAUACUGACGCUCAUGCACGAAAGCGUGGGGAGCAAACAGGAUUAGAUACCCUGGUAGUCCACGCCCUAAACGAUGUCAACUAGUUGUCGGGUCUUCAUUGACUUGGUAACGAAGCUAACGCGUGAAGUUGACCGCCUGGGGAGUACGGUCGCAAGAUUAAAACUCAAAGGAAUUGACGGGGACCCGCACAAGCGGUGGAUGAUGUGGAUUAAUU